rnacentral:rRNA from 1 species
GACGAACGCUGGCGGCGUGCCUAAUACAUGCAAGUCGAACGCAGUGGGGACGGGUGAGUAACACGUGGGUAACCUCCCAUCAGAGGGGGGAACACUUGGAAACAGGUGCUAAACCGAUACUGAUGGAUGGACCCGCGUUGCAUUAGCUAGGUGGUGAGGUAACGGCGCACCAAGGCGACGAUGCAUAGCCGACCUGAGAGGGUGAUCAGCCACACUGGGACUGAGACACGGCCCAGACUCCUACGUGAGGCAGCAGUGGGGAAUCUUCGGCAAUGGACGAAAGUCUGACCGAGCAACGCCGCGUGAGUGAAGAAGGUUUUCGGAUCGUAAAACUCUGUUGUUAGAGAAGCGGUAUCUACCCAAAAAGCCCCGGCUAACUACGUGCCAGCAGCCGCGGUAAUAC